UAAAAGUUCAGGGUUUGAGUAUUACAUCAGGUACUGGUUCGGUUUUGAAAAACCGGUCCCUGAGUAACACUUACAUUCUGGCUUUUA